AUCGAAGCUGAUGCCGUGGCAUCAGAGAAAACCCUAGGACACAGGUCACACAGUUUCAACUCCAAAAUCUCAAUCUCCGGUAGAGCUCAUUGCGGGUAGGAUCUUGUCGGAGUUUGUUGUUUUCGUCCUCCCAAUAUGGCUACGCAGAAGAGAAAACUCUACGGCACAGGUCAGCAUUUGCGAUAUGUAACAUAUAUUGUUAAUUUUCGCGAGUUCAUGUUCAUAGUUUUAGUUACAUCGGAGGUCAGAGUCAUUCCGAUGAGAACCGAGAUCAUCAUCAGAGCCACUCGCACUCAGAAUGUACUUGGCCAUAAAUGAGCAUUGAGGUACACAGUCCAACGUGCAUACAUCUCAAAGCUUUCUAAAAGGGAUUUGUUGGACAGAGGGCACCUGCCUUUUGAAAAUGUGCUGGCUGUAUAUAAGAAUGCGACUUCGCUGUAAGCUAUAGUUUUUGGCAUAGCGAUAAGCGUUUGAUCUAACAAGUUGUAUAAGAGCUAUGUCACAGGUUGAGUCUGAUGCACAUUCAUUAUGUAGUAUUGAUGUCUUGGGUUGUAUUUGCCACUGUAGCUGUAGGCGAGAAAGGAAGGAGUAGGGAACUCACAUCACUUGUGCAAAAGAGAUUCAUAUUUGAGGAGAACACUAUGAAAUUGUAUGCUGAGAAGCUAAGGUAAAUAACAUGAGUCUGCAUAUUUGUCACUGUAGCUGGAGGCCUUGCUGUUAGGUGGUAUGCAUGUAAUUUUUAUCUUUCAACUAAUUUUAAUUUUUCUUGUAUUCUUAUUUGGUUAAUGUUUUCAUAUGCUUUCUUGUUUAAAUCUUCUAUCUAUCCAUGUGGUUCUUUUAGGCUGUAACCAGAAAGAAUAGAAGUUGCUAUUUUUUCUUCCCUUGGGAUUUUGAGUUCAUAAAUUCAGGUUCUAGAGUAUAUGCCAUCCACAAAGCAGUUUGGUGAUCCUGUGCCAAUAUUGUGUCGGAUGAUGAUUAAAAUUUUUUCCUCCAUGCCAUUAUCCUCAUGAAUUACAAUUGUAUUCAUGUAGCAACCUUGGUGAUGGAACAUUUUCUGCUAGCGCUUUCACAGUUUGUAAUUUUUAAUUUAAUUUUUUUUUUUUAAUGUUCGGCACUUGAUCUAAUUUGUUUUCCCCCUUUAAAGUAGCAGUUAAUUUCUAGAACUGAUCUUUGUGUGAUCUAGUUUGUUUGCCUCCUUUAAAAGUAGCAAUUAAUUUCUAGAACUGAUCUUUGUAUGAUCUAAUUUGUUUGCCCCUUUAAGGUAGCAUUAAUUUAUAAAACUGAUCUUUGUGUGAUCUAGUUUGUUUGCCCCGUUUAAGGUAGCAAUUAAUUUCUAGAACUCAUCUUUGUGUGAUCUAAUUUGUUUGCCCCCUUUAAGGUAGCAAUUAAUUUAUAAAACUGAUCUUUGUGUGAUCUAGUUUGUUUGCCCCGUUUAAGGUAGCAAUUAAUUUAUAGAACUGAUCUUUGUGUGAUCUAAUUUGUUUGCCCCCUUUAAGGUAGCAAUUAAUUUAUAUAACUGAUCUUUGUAUGAUCUAGUUUGUUUGCCCCCUUUAAGGUAGCAAUUAAUUUCUAGAGUUGAUCUUUGUGUGAUCUAAUUUUUUUUAACCCCUUUAAGGUAGCAAUUAAUUUCUAGAACUGAUCUUUGUUACUUACAUUGAAAAACAUAACUAUGCACCCCCUUUAACUUAGCUAAUUAAGAGGAAACAUUUUCUGCUAUAUAAUAUCAUUUUUGUUUCAUGUCCUAAAUAGCUUGUUUCUACUUGCUUACAUAGGGCUUGGCAGCUUGCUAUAGUGUUCUAAGAUUUGUUAGGGAAAGUGGAGCCAAGGGUUUCGAGGUAUAUCUGAUUUUAAAAUCAAGGUUUUGUAAUAUCAGUUUUCUAAGUAAUACAGGUCAAGCAUGUAUGCAGAACAUCUUAUAAGGGCCCAACAUGCCAAAUCCAUGAAGUUUAAGGAUGCCUAUAUGAUUUCUUCUGGCCAACUUGUCAAAGAAUACAUCGCCUCUGGCCUUGUUUGGUAAAUGAUGGAUCUGCCGUUUUUAGAGUUUUAAGACUUUUUUAAAUGAGUUUUAGCCUUUUUGGCUCCUCAAUGCUGCCUAUCCGCUCAGAUGGGCAAUAAAUGGUCAAGCAAUAUAGGAGCCUCAAGGCUCCAUUCCCACUUUUUCCAACAAAAGGGAAGCAGCGGGCUACUCCCCUUAUUAUUAUUAUUAUGAAAUAUGUGUAUGUUCUUAUGGAUUAUUUUAUAUGUUAACGCUAACCUAAAGAGCUAAUUUUAUUAAAUAUCUUUUUACAAAUAACUAAUACAAUCAGCUAGUCAAAUUCGCUAACACAACAUGCUAAUGUUAACUACUGAUUGCCAAACAAGGCCUCACAAGACAUGUCCUCUUAAAACAGGGGAUCCUUGAUAUCAAGGUCAAGGUUAAAAUCAUGCUUGAUUGGGACCCCAAGGGCAAGCAUGGCCUGACAACUCCUCUCCCUGCUGGUAUUGUUAUUAUUCGUUCUCCAAAGGAAGAAGAAGAAGAAGAAUAUAUCAGGGCACCCAUUCCCCCUAUCACCAAUAUUGAGGUAGCUGUUGCAUAGACUAUUACUAUCUAUCUGCAUUGUCAACUGCAACAAUUGAGCACUAGAUUUUCUUGUUUUUAGCUUCUCCAAUGUCAGAUACUACAGAAAAGAGGAAAUUAUGCAUUAAUGAGAUAAAGCUAACCGGUCAUCAUCUCUUCCAAGCAAUUUAGCAUGCAUCCAUCCUCCAGAUCGACGGGCUCCCAAUCUGACCGGAACGGGAAAAUAUCCUUGGGAUUUCGUUGUCGUCGAUGGUUGGUCCUGGGAAUUCUGAGUGAGUUUCAGUUGUUGAGUCGAAAGUCAAAAUUGUGUUGUGGUUCAUAAGCCAAUAGGCUACGUCUCCUAUACAAACAGAUGGUUGACGGUUAAAAAACAUGAAUUGUUCUGUUAUGAGGUUUUCUAACUGUCUCCAUGACCAAAUUUUUGAAUCGAAAAUCUCACAUAUGUAGCUUUUUUUUCCAA